CCUUGUACACACCGCCCGUCACACCAUGGGAGUGGGUUUCACCAGAAGUAGGUAGCUUAACCUUCGGGACGGGCGCUUACCACGGUGAGAUUCAUGACUGGGGUG
rnacentral:rRNA from 1 species